rnacentral:rRNA from 1 species
UUGAUUACGUCCCUGCCCUUUGUACACACCGCCCGUCGCUGCCCGGGACUGAGCCAUUUCGAGAAAUUUGGGGACCGUUGAUUUAAUUUAUCUAAAUUAUUUUGAUGGAAACCAAUUUAAUCGCAGUGGCUUGAACCGGGCAAAAGUCGUAACAAGGUAGCUGUAGGUGAACCUGCUGCUGGAUCAUUAC